UACGUAGGGGGCAAGCGUUGUCCGGAUUUAUUGGGCGUAAAGAGCGUGUAGGCGGUUUGGUAGGUCCGCUGUGAAAACUCGAGGCUCAACCUCGAGACGCCGGUGGAAACCAUCAGACUAGAGUCCGGAAGAGGAGAGUGGAAUUCCUGGUGUAGCGGUGGAAUGCGCAGAUAUCAGGAGGAACACCUAUAGCGAAGGCAGCUCGCUGGGACGACACUGACGCUGAGACGCGAAAGCGUGGGGAGCGAACAGG
rnacentral:rRNA from 1 species